rnacentral:rRNA from 1 species
UACGUAGGGCGCAAGCGUUGUCCGGAAUUAUUGGGCGUAAAGAGCUCGUAGGCGGUUUGUCGCGUCUGUCGUGAAAGCCCACGGCUUAACCGUGGGUCUGCGGUGGAUACGGGCAGACUAGAGGCAGGUAGGGGAGAAUGGGAUUCCCGGUGUAGCGGUGAAAUGCGCAGAUAUCGGGAGGAACACCGGUGGCGAAGGCGGUUCUCUGGGCCUGUACUGACGCUGAGGAGCGAAAGCGUGGGGAGCGAACAGG